AGAGGGUUGAGGGGGAGAGGGAGACUGGCACUGUUAGGACGGCUCUGGGUUUUAGAGCCAGGGAAAGCGUGGUAACGGGCUGGGCCGCGACCCCUAGUUGAAAAGCUCUGUCUUCUGCAGGCAUCCUGUCGGCUCACAAGAUAAUAGCCAGCUCCCCAGAAAUGAACCUGCCCACGGUGUCCGCGCUCAGGAAGAUGGGUGUGAACCUGACACGCAGCAACAAGGAGACGGUGAAGCACAGCGACGUCCUGUUUCUGGCUGUGAAGCCACAUAUCAUCCCCUUCAUCCUGGAUGAGAUUGGGGCCGACGUGCAAGCCAGACACAUCGUGGUCUCCUGUGCGGCUGGUGUCACCAUCAGCUCUGUGGAGAAGAAGCUGAUGGCAUUCCAGCCAGCCCCCAAAGUGAUUCGCUGCAUGACCAAC
rnacentral:lncRNA from 1 species